AGGCUAACGUGUGCUAUGCUUAUGCCCCAAUAUAUUUGGACUUCCUUGGAUGACUACAGGAGAGUGUGCAGGCAUCACAUACCUCUGCUGAGGAACCAAGAAGAUAAAGUGACUCCAACUCCUCUUAAAACCUUCUACUACCCAUUUGUCAUCCACCUAAAGAUAAUUAAUCAAUUAGAAUGGAAUUUGUUGCCACAAUUAUUUUCUUGUACAUGUUAGUAGAGGGAAGAAUCCAGUAGGAGAGGCUCUGCCUCAAGGUUCAAGAAACUGAUCUUCUGCUAUUUUUGUAGCUGACUGUACAUGUUUGUAUCCCAAUAUUUUAACUUGGUAGCUGCAGUGUCUUUAAUCCUAAUAUGUUUCUUUAAAUCAGUAAUGUUAUACCAAAACUAAUGCAACUCAUGAGAGUUACUGUACAUAGUACCCCACUUCAUAUAUUCGUAGCAUUUCAUUUUUAUUAUUGUAGUCUUUGCUGAGUGCACUAUUUAUCAGAGUUUAUAACGAAUGAGCUUUGCUGAUGCUAUUAAAUCACUCAAGUGUGCUAAAUUAUGGCACCAGAGCAGGUGCUAUUGUCUGCAGCUCUUUUGCAAAGAAAGGAAAAACCCUCAAAUGAUCCUGCACAUUUAUACCUAAAGGAAACAAUCCUUUAUAUUAAUAUAAAAAGAUUGGUUUGUACUCAGUCAGGGGAAUUCUUGGCAGUCGGUUUAAACUUACAUGUAUAUAUAGCACACUGGAGCCUGCUAAGUACCUCUGUUUUCUUUAUGGAUGGAGCUUUGGUGCCAAGAGGUCUGCACCACAUGCAAGCAGGGAUAGGCUUCUAUCUGAUGGAUUGUCCCAUAGUGAACCACAUUGUAUACAGCACGUUCAAACACGUAUUGAUUACGUGGUUCCGUAGUUUACAGCAGAAUCAUAACCUGAUGCUUUUAAGUACAUAUAUGUAAUCAAUCUUCAUGUGAAGGAAGUCAGGACAAAAGAAGUAUUUUAUGCUAUAUAUUAGACAUUAUAUUAAAUUUCAUUAAAUGAAGUGUAUGUUAUACAUUUUUUUAACCUCAUCACCAUAACAUGUGAUUGCGUUACGAGCGUGAUCUUUGUGUGGGCUAUGGACUAAAGGUAUAUUUAAUAAAGCUCAGAAUGGGGAUAAUGCUCUUCUGGUUUUAGUACCAGGUUUCAUGGUCAUCUACAAGCCAAAUUUCCAUCCAACAGAGAUGCAAUUUUUUAUAGAGGUAGUUUUAUGUUUUGUUGCAUAUCUGUAAAUCUUUUCUGCAACACUGCAUUACAGAAUAAGAGACUUGUACUUGAGGGGGAAAAUUAGCACACUGGUUAGAUUUUAGUCCAUUGUGCAAAUAAAAUGGAAAUGUAUCUGCUUAUAGACUAAUUUGCUUUACUAUAAUGCCAACAUCCAAGUAGUCAUUUGCAAAAUCAAUUCGCAAAAUUUGCCUCAACUGCCACUUCUAAAUGUAGAAAUGAAUACAAAACUUGAAUUUUGUAUUUGAGUGCCUUCUGUUAGCAAUCUUUGCAAGUGAUUAAGUUAGCUCACAAUGUUUGGCUGUAUAAAAGAUGAUUUAGGCUGGUAAUAUUUAUUUGUAAGUCAGGAUGGGAGUACUUCAGUGAUUCUUUUGGAGCAACUUUCAUGUUUGGAGGCUUUAUUCACAUCUACUGGAUUGAUAAAAAAUAAAUAAAUUUUAAA